GCUGGGCCUUCGAGGAAGGGAUAAAGCGGCCGUACUUCCACGUCAAAGCCUUGGAGAAGACCCAGCUGAACAACUGGAGGGAGUACCUGGACUUCGAGCUGGAGAACGGGACUCCGGAACGUGUGGUGGUUCUGUUCGAGCGCUGCCUGAUUGCCUGCGCGCUCUAUGAGGAGUUCUGGAUCAAGUACGCCAAGUAUCUGGAGAGCUACAGCGUCGAAGGCGUCCGACACAUCUUCAAGAAGGCCUGCAGCAUCCACCUGCCCAAGAAACCCACCGUUCACCUGCUCUGGGCUGCGUUUGAGGAGCAGCAAGGUAAAA